rnacentral:lncRNA from 1 species
UCUGUUGUCACAGUAAUCUAUCCUUCUUUGUUUUUUUCUGCAGCAUAACUAUAUAUAUCAGUGCUUCUUGUGGGACUGGAGUAAGCUGGAUAUGUGCUUGAAGGACACAGCUUCACCUAGUGACAAGAUGCUGAGCAAUCCUCCUGGAGUGAGUAAAGAAAUGACCCAGGCACUGAGACGCUGUGUGCAGGGGUCAGUUUUCCAGGCAGGAGCAGCUGGUCUGUGCGUAGGGGUUGUCAGAAGAUGUGGCUUUCCCAGCAUGCAGGACUCUGAUAGCCCAGGAGAUAUGGUGUCAGUACACGUCCUUCAGUCAUGCACAGACAGGCUGGUACUGUGAAGGUCCCUCUGUCAGGCAUGGCCUCCCAUGGGAUGGGCACAGGGCAGUGAGCAGCCAUUCCUGUAACAGCUGUGAAAGGAUAAAUGUGGAGCAUGAAAUUUAGUAUUGGUCUUGUGGUUCACAGCUGCAGAGCAAGUGCUUGCUUGCACCUUGAAGUGUGACAGUGAGGAGACCUGUAGCAUCAGCAGCAGAGUUUCUUUUGCACAGCAAGGGAGGAGCAACUCUGGUAUGGCUUGUGUCCUGAAUUUGGACUCAUGCUUUUCCUCCUUGGUUGCUUUUAACCGUUUCAUAGGCUGCCUCUGCCCAUAGGUGGGAAAACAUUUGUGUGUAAAGGUACCUGUGAGCAGUCAGUGACAACCUUGUUGCUAUCCUCCCUUUUUCCCAUCACACAGAAUAGUGGGAAAUGAACAAAAUCAGGCUGUGUGAUAGAUAAUGGAGCAAUUGUAGCAUCCUCUGAUCCUUUGCUGUCUGGGUGCCCUCCACCCAUCACUGCACUGUGCAGGCUUCCUUGCAAGAUCACUUGUGACUUGGCAGGGGAUAGAAGUGAAGUACUGCAGUUGGCAAUCUUUUCUGUGUUGCCUGUAUUGUUUAACUAACUCAGUUUCCUUUUACAACAAGGUUAUCUGACCCCUUGUCUAAGGGAAGCCAGUACAGGUAAUCUCUUUGGUGUCAGCAAAGGUUUCGAUACAGUUUCUCAUGAUAUCCUUUCAGGCGAAAUGUCCAGCAUGCAGCUGGACAAAGACAUACUGAACAACUGGCUGACAAGUUGGGCUCAAAGGAUUGUAGUAAAUGGGGUUCUGUCAAGCUAGCAGGCACUAGUGGGACUCUGCAGGGCUCCAUUCAGGGGCCAGUCCAGUAUUGUUAUAGAUGUUGUAUAUGCAGAAGUUGAAUUAAUGCUAAAUAAGUUUGCAGAUGAUACUAAAUUGGGAGAAGGUGUUGACUCCCGUGAAGCUGGAUGUAGACCUGACAAAAACUACAGAGACAGCAGUUUGUUACCAGC